rnacentral:misc_RNA from 1 species
CACCACUGUAGUGAACCCAUGGUAAAAUUAACGGAAAAUGUAGCUGUGGUAAAAAUUGGAACAUUACAGCAGUAUGACCAAGUCAGAAUAAAUAAUUCUUGUUCCUUGUUCCUUUUCCUUUGUUUGACUGUCCUAAAGGUAUACAAUAUACAUUACACACAAUAGACUAUAAAACGUUUCUAGAAAUGAUUACUAUCUUAUUGAUAUGGAAUCAUAACUCAUCUCAUAUUACACAAUAUAUCACAACAAAUUUCCCCCAGGUUAUACUCUCACCAAGAACCUCUGCACCUUCUUAGUUCCCCAAUUGACCAUCUCUCGCCUCUAGAACAACUGCAUCCAAAUUUUUCUCACCCAAAUCAUACUACUUUCUAUGUUAAACUCCAUGCUUAUAUGUUAAAAAAAAAAGUAUCAAGGAAUGGAC